UACGGAGGGGGCUAGCGUUGUUCGGAAUUACUGGGCGUAAAGCGCACGUAGGCGGCUUUGUAAGUUAGAGGUGAAAGCCCGGGGCUCAACCCCGGAACUGCCUUUAAGACUGCAUCGCUUGAACGUCGGAGAGGUGAGUGGAAUUCCGAGUGUAGAGGUGAAAUUCGUAGAUAUCGAGAGGAACACCUGCGGCGAAGGCGGGUUGCUAGGCUGACACUGACGCUGAGGCGCGAAAGCCAGGGGAGCAAACGGG
rnacentral:rRNA from 1 species